rnacentral:rRNA from 1 species
GAUGAACGCUGGCGGCGUGCCUAAUACAUGCAAGUCGAGCGAACAGACGAGGAGCUUGCUCCUCUGACGUUAGCGGCGGACGGGUGAGUAACACGUGGAUAACCUACCUAUAAGACUGGGAUAACUUCGGGAAACCGGAGCUAAUACCGGAUAAUAUAUUGAACCGCAUGGUUCAAUAGUGAAAGACGAUUUUGCUGUCACUUAUAGAUGGAUCCGCGCCGCAUUAGCUAGUUGGUAAGGUAACGGCUUACCAAGGCAACGAUGCGUAGCCGACCUGAGAGGGUGAUCGGCCACACUGGAACUUAGACACGGUCCAGACUCCUACGGGAGGCAGCAGUAGGGAAUCUUCCGCAAUGGGCGAAAGCUUGACGGAGCAACGCCGCGUGAGUGAUGAAGGUCUUCGGAUCGUAAAACUCUGUUAUUAGGGAAGAACAAAUGUGUAAGUAACUAUGCACGUCUUGACGGUACCUAAUCAGAAAGCCACGGCUAACUACGUG